AACGCAACACCCAAAAAGGUUUAUGGAAAGGGGUUAGAAUUGUUUCUGUAGAUGGUAUUAUAUUUAUGUAGUCCGGUCUGAGUUCAUCUCCUUCCCUCUUCCCCUGUCCAUAACCAACGACGACAUGGAUUGGUCGGUACGGUUUCUGAAAAUCAGUUUCAACCGACCAAUGAGCGCAGAGGAAGAAUGAUAUUUAUUACGCGGCGGUGAUUUGACCUACAUCUUCCGUGCGAGUCGCAAAUCGUCUCGGGCACACCGUGAGGCUCUCACUGCUGCUCGCGACUCUCGCAGGAGCCCGGAAGAUGUCCACUAGGUGAAGCACGGCAGCCAGGGGGUGUGUAGUAUGGGAAUGGCUCCUCUGGGCUGAGGCUGCUUAAACCAGCCACCAGCCACACUCCGCCACAGAUACGAGCACCACAGCGGUGAACAGGCCCAGCUCCUCCGGGCUGAGUUCCAGUGAUGCUAGCUUGUGGCUGAAGUCAAACAUGGCCCCCAGCAGCUCGCCCAUCCCCAUGGCCCGCAGGUCCUCCAGCCCAUAGGUGGUGCCGGAGAUAAACGUCACCGUCUGUUCUCUCACGUUGAACAUCGAAGCAAAGCGCACCAUUAGCACCUGAGGAAGGAACAACAAAAACCAUCAAAUUGAGUUCAGGGUUUACUGGGAGAUUAGGAAUAAGGAAAUCAGGGAGCAAUAGAAAAUGGCCUUAAUUAGCAAUUGAUUUGUGUGCUAUACGUUGAGAUACAUUCCUAAUUCUUUCUUAUACUCAAUACAACAGUAGGUUACAUACAUCAUUAUUAUGCUGACUGAAAAUAUGUAUUAAAGGCUAC